CCUACGGGAGGCUGCAGUAGGGAAUAUUGCUCAAUGGGGGAAACCCUGCAGCAGCAACGCCGCGUGGAGGAUGAAGGUUUUCGGAUUGUACACUCCUUUUGUUAGAGAAGAUAAUGACGGUAUCUAACGAAUAAGCAACGGCUAACUCCGUUCCAGCAGCCGCGGUAAUACGGAGGGUGCAAGCGUUACACGGAAUCACUGGGUGUAAAGAGAGCGUCGGCGGGAUAGCAAGUCAGAAGUGAAAUUCUAUGGCUUAACCACGGGACUGCAUUUGAAACUUUUAUUCUAAGGUAAUGGAGAGGGAAGUGGAAUUUCUGGUGUAGGGGUAAAAAGCGUAGAGAUUAAGAGGAAUA
rnacentral:rRNA from 1 species